rnacentral:rRNA from 1 species
GACGAACGCUGGCGGCGUGCCUAAUACAUGCCGGUCGAACGCAUUUUCUUUCACCGUAGCUUGCUACACCGAAAGAAAAUGAGUGGCGAACGGGUGAGUAACACGUGGGUAACCUGCCCAUCAGCGGGGGAUAACACUUGGAAACAGGUGCUAAUACCGCAUAAUUCCAUUUACCGCAUGGUAAAUGGAUGAAAGGCGCUUUUGCGUCACUGAUGGAUGGACCCGCGGUGCAUUAGCUAGUUGGUGGGGUAACGGCCUACCAAGGCUGCGAUGCAUAGCCGACCUGAGAGGGUGAUCGGCCACACUGGGACUGAGACACGGCCCAGACUCCUACGGGAGGCAGCAGUAGGGAAUCUUCGGCAAUGGACGCAAGUCUGACCGAGCAACGCCGCGUGAGUGAAGAAGGUUUUCGGAUCGUAAAACUCUGUUGUUAGAGAAGAACAAGGAUGAGAGUGGAAAGUUCAUCCCUUGACGGUAUCUAACCAGAAAGCCACGGCUAACUACGUG